UUCCUCCCACUCUGAGCAUUUGUUUAUGUCUGUAGUAUGCAACAGAAGAUUUAAAAAUAGAAGGGUUUCCAUGGCAGCCUGGAAACUCCAGAUCCAGAGACGAACUGCGGCACACAGCCUCGCCUGGGAGGACGCCGGAGUGGCCGUGGUCCUCUCCCUCUGACGUCACGACGGAGUCCCCUUGGAGCAGCACUCGUCACACCUCCUCCUGGGUGAGAGCCGCUCAGCCUUCUGGGUGGUGUCAGUCCUUCGUGGCCCAGGUCCUCGUCCCCUGCCUCCCGCCGGCUCGUCUGUCUCACUCCGAGGACGGGGACGACAGCUCUUUGCUGUCAGCCUCCAGGGAAUGUUUAGGCCUUCAGGAGGGCCAGCAUUGGGCCAGAGAGAUGAAGUGGAGCGGGUGCUGGCGCUGUUCUCACGUGCGUUAGCUGAAGUUCACGGUGGUGGAGACCGCAGGCGAGGGGACCCAGCCCCCAGGGCUGCAGGACAGAGAAGAGAUCAGAAUGACUGGAACCCAGGAGCCUGGAGGGGCCCACAGAGCUGAGGUCAGAUGGCUCAGCUGCCGCCGUGACCUUGGAGGGGACAUGUGAGCCAGUCCUGCGUGUACGGAAAACUCUGAAAACCAGCCUCCGCCAAGGCUCCUGGGACAGGAUGAGCUGGAGGUGAAGUCACGUGCUGGAUGGCGCUGUCAGGGAAAGAAGCAGGCCAGGAGGAGGUGUCCCUGCGUCUCGCUGGCCUGCAGUCUCCCUCCGGGGCCCUGUCAACGGGCUCCAGCAGGGAGCAGCUGGCAACGCAUAAUGUGGUUGCAAAUCCCAGCCCCGCGUCGCACAGCCCAGCAGAGAAGCGCGAUUUAGACGGAGGGACGGCGAAGGGCUUGACAUCUGUGCACACACGGUGCUUCCCUCCACACCUUCCCUCUGCCUCUCCCGCUGGGUGUCAAGGUUCUUCUGGAAGGGCGUCCGUGAGCCUACGAUGGCAGCUGUCUCCUGCCCUCCUUACCUGUAGGAGGCAGACCCGAACCCACCUCUCGCCAGUCUCCGGGAUUCGCUGACUUCUCUUGGAAGUGGUUCCGCCUGACCUCCCUCUGGCUCUGAGCUUUUCAAGGCUCUUAGUUCCUGGUCUUCACGUGUUCAGCGUGUUCCUGAGUUACUUUUGCAUCGCUUUGCUUUCCUUUUUCAAGUCAUUUUAUUUUAGACACGUUCUUAUACACUGUGUCUGUUCUUUUUACUCCAAUCUG
rnacentral:lncRNA from 1 species